AUGGCCGGGAUCGACGCCGGGGAGGGGGCGGCCGCCGCGCCGCCGGAGAUGUCGCCGGAGCAGCGCAUCGAGCAGAAGCUCAUUCUCUAUGGAGUACCCGAAGAGCAACUGCAAGAACACCAAGAAGGCUUACUCAUGUACAUAGAGAAGCACAAAGAGCAGAUACCUGAUAUAGUGAGGCUGAUCUUGUCAGUAGGUACUGAUAUUCUGGAGGCCCGAAAGCCCUCAAAGAAGGAAUCAAGUAGCAGCAGCAGUGGCGAUGCGUACAGUGAGAGUUUGUCUUGGUUGCAGUGGUUGAUGUUCAACCAUGAGCCAGAAGCGAUGCUUCAAGACCUGGAUCGUUCCUCUGCAGGAGAUCGUGCUGUUUGUGGGUCAGUCUGGGGACAGAGUGAUCUUGCGUAUCGCUGCCGGACCUGUGAAAAUGACCCCACGUGUGCAAUUUGUGUCCCAUGCUUCCAGAAUGGCAAUCACAAGGAUCAUGAUUACUCCAUCAUGUAUACAGGGGGUGGAUGUUGUGACUGUGGAGAUGCUACCGCCUGGAAGCGUGAAGGGUUCUGCUCAAAGCAUAAAGGGGCCGAGCAGAUUAAGCCUCUUCCAGAGGAGCUUGCACAUUCUGUAGGACCUGUGCUGGAUGUGCUUUUGCAGUUCUGGAAGGAGUGGAUAUGCCUGGUGGAACCACCCCCUGCAAAGGGUGAUGGUAGUAGCUCAUGCAAGAGGGUUGCUGAAGAGUUGACAAUGUCAAUUACUAACAUGAUGCUUCAGUUCUGCACUUGCAGUGAAAGCCUUCUUAGUUUUCUGUCCCUAAGGAUCCGUGAGUGCCAAGAUCUGUUGGAUGCAUUAAUAAGGUCAGAAAGGUUGCUUGACAAGAAGGUUGCUAAAAAAUUGCAUGAGUUGCUAUUGAAACUUAUCAGCGAUCCUGCUUUUAAGUAUGAGUUUGCCAAGGUUUUUAUACGCUACUACCCUGUCACAUUUGGUGAAGUUAUCAAAGGGUGCAAUGAUUCGCUACUGGAGGAGUAUCCACUGAUGCCAACUUUCUCUGUGCAAAUAUUCACAGUACCUACACUAACUACAAGGCUUGUGCAUGAGGUUAAUUUGUUGGGUGUUCUUCUUGGAUGCUUGACAGAUCUGUUUCUUUCUUGCAUUGGUGAGGAUGGUCGUUUACAGACAAACAAAUGGGGAAACUUAUUUGACGCUUCUGUUCGAUUAUUGGAUGAUACACGCUAUGUCUUGAGUCAUGAGGAAGUUUCUAAGUAUGUUGCUUAUGAGAGGCCUGAUCUAACAAGGUCAUGGAUUAAGCUCUUAUCACUUGUGCAAGGUAUGGAUCCUCAGAAGAGAGUGACAAGUAUUCAUGCUGAAGAUGAAAAUGAACAUCUAUCUGCACCUUUCGUGCUGGGGCACUAUUUUGGAAUUGUCCAGAACCUUCUGAUAAAGGGUGCAUUUUCUCCUCCUGAUCAACAUGAAUCAACUGAUGUUACUGUUUGCUCCUCUGCGAUAAACGGCAUGGAGAGUGCUGAAAAUCAACGGCAUGCAAAAGUUGGAAGGGUCUCCCAGGAGAGCUCAGUAUCCAAUUUAAGCAUCCGAGACAGUUCUUUGAGUUGUGGUUUGCCGUCACCUGCUGCCUGGUUAAUUCUUCAAUGCCUGAAAGCUAUUGAAAGUUGGUUGGAACCUGACAUAGCUCUGAGGAGCAAGCUGUCAUCCCUUGAUCCUAGCAGCAGCGAUUCUCGUAAUUUUAUGGCUUCGCCUGAAGAUCGGACUUCUGAUAAGGGAACCAGUUCAAAUACAAAUAUAGGCGUGAUGGGUGUCAAGAUAAAUGAAGGAUCACAACCAGAUGGUACUGCAGAUUAUCGUGAUGUAUCUAGUUCUCCUGUUCAUGGUAAUUGCGACAGGAUGCAGAUUGACCAAGAAGAGAUACCUUCAGCUAGUAACAGGACAGGCAAAGGGAAGAUGCAUGACAGCAGCAACACUACAGAUAUAGAGUUGCACCCUGAGAAUGCCAUUACUUAUACUCUGACUGACGGUAGCCUUUUGCACGCUCAUCCUGAUUCAAGAAUCGAGGAACUAGGAAUACUCAACACAAGAGGUUGGCCUCAUGUUAUCUUUGACGUCAGUUCACAAGAAACUUCUUUCCAUAUCCCUUUGCACCGUAUGCUUUCAUUGCUGUUGCGGAAGGCGAUGAAGAAAUGUUUUGGAGAGGAUGCCAGGCCAGAUGAACAUUCAGUUGUGCAAUCCUGUGAGUUCUUUUCUCAGGUACUUAGAGGUUGUGAGCCUUAUGGGUUUGCUUCGAUUGUGAUGGAGCAUCCACUGAGAGUCAGAGUAUUUUGUGCACAAGUGCGUGCUGGAAUGUGGCGUAAGAAUGGUGAUGCAGCUAUACUGAGUGCUGAGUGGUACCGCUCUGUGCAAUGGCUUGAACAAGGUCUGGAGUCAGAUCUGUUUCUUCUUCAAUGCUGUGCUGCACUAUCUUCUCCAGAGUUCUUUGUACGAACAAUUCAAGAGCGAUUUGGUUUGUCCAGUUAUACAUCUUUGGAUCUUGCGGAACAGAAUGAGUAUGAGUCAGUUCUAAUGCAGGAAAUGCUAACUUUUCUUAUACAAUUGGUUAAAGAACGCCGUUUUUGUGGGCUUUCCACAGCAGACAACUUGAAGAGGGAAUUGAUUUAUAAGUUAGCUAUUGGAGAUGCCACUCAUAGCCAGAUUGUGAAGUCUCUUCCUCGCGAUCUUUCAUCAAGUGACCAACUUCAAAAUGUUCUGGAUUCACUGGCAGUUUAUUCUAAUCCAUGUGGCAUGAAGCAGGGUAAGUAUGUACUUCGCAAAUCGUGCUGGAACGAAUUGGACUUGUAUCACCCCCGCUGGAAUUCUAGGGAAUUGCAAAUUGCGGAGGAGAGAUAUUACCGUUUCUGCAAAACUUCUGCUCUUAAUGCUCAGCUACCUCGGUGGACUCACGUUUUUAGCCCACUGAGAAGUAUUUCUAACGUUGCAACCUCAAAGGCUGUCCUUCAGAUUGUUCGUGCUGUUCUCUUUUAUGCUGUUUACAGUGAAGCAUCAUCAGCAUCACGCGCCCCUGAUAAUGUUCUCGUGACGGGUUUACAUCUGCUUUGGUUGGCACUUGAUAUUUGUGAAUCAGAAAGACAAGUACAUGCCGACCAGUAUGGCAUGGAUGUGGUGCAGCAUGAUGAUGAAUCAUGGGUUGUUCUGUCAUCGUACACAGAAGAGGCUUUUCCCAUAUUGACUUACUCUACUGAAGUAGUUUCCCCGGAGUCUGACAAUGUAAAGAAAGAAAGCAUGUUAACCCUACUUGUGUUGCUAAUGCACAAAUACAAAGAAGAGAAUGAUGCCACCUUUUCUGGAUCCAAGUACUGUAAUAUUCCAUCCCUAAUUGAGAGCUUAUUGAAGAAAUUUGCCAAGUUAAGUAAGAAGUGCAUGUUUACAUUAAGACAAAUGGCGCCACAUGUAGUCCCAUCUACACCAGACAGUUCCAGUAUCAAAGAAAGCCUAGGAACUUCAUCAGAUCCCAUGGAAAAGAAAGCAAAAGCACGUCAACACCAAGCUGCAAUUAUGGCGAAGAUGAGGGCAGAGCAGUCCAAAUUUGCUGAAAGUAUGAAGUCAUCAGAAAACGAGGGGCAUGAUGUUCCAAUGUUAGAGACAGAUGUGUCCAGUUCAACUGGUGCGGUCUCUGAGGAGUCACUACCAGUUUGCUCCUUGUGCCGGGACUCGGACUCCAAAAGCCCUCUAUGCUAUUUGAUUCUUCUUCAGAAAUCUCGGCUUGCAACUUUUGUUGAGAUGGGUCAUCCAUCCUGGGAUAAUCCAACUCAAGCAAACAAGAUGUCUGGAUCAGUCAAGAAGGAAGAUUCAACUGAUUCCUUGGUCUCUGGUUCUUCAACUUCCGAGGAACUUGUCGAUGACACGACAGUAGAGCCAUCUUUUGAUUUAGACAGCAUGGAAGUUGAUGCCUUUCUUGAUUUUUCAAAUGAGCAGCAUCCACUAAUUCGAUAUAUAUCGUCUUUCCCAAGUGGACAUUGCAAUGGCAAUGCAGAUGACACUGUCUCGCUUGAGGCAAUUGAGGCUGAUAUUUACAACUCUAUUUUAAAUGAUGUAUUUGGAUCCAGUAAUGCACACAUUCAGAAUGCUGAGCAAACGUCGCCAUCAUCUGCUUCAAGUAUCACAGUUGAUUCCAAGAAAACCAGAAGCCCCAAGCGUUCUGUGCUGGGAACAUAUGUUAGUUGUCUAUCAGCAAAACACCGCCAUUCUUCACUCUAUGAUGUAGCUUCCAAAUCUUCUGCCUCUGUUAGUACAAGAAACAAGUUUGGUCCGCUUCAUUGUGAUGGCAUCCACAUUUCUUCUUGUGGACAUGCUGUACAUCAGGAAUGCCAUGAUCGGUAUUUGUUCUCCUUGAAACAAAGAUAUGUCCGGAGACUUGGUUUUGAAGGUGGUCAUAUUGUCGAUCCUGAUCUGGGAGAGUUGCUUUGUCCAGUAUGUCGCAGAUUUGCGAAUUCCAUUCUUCCAGCAUCAACUGAUUUCUCUAGUAAAACAUUGAAGGGGAAACCAUUUGUUGAAACCUUGACCCGUGAAGUUGUUAUUACAACUACGUCACAUCUAAAUACAAGUCACUUACAGUUUCCUCGAGCACUAUCACUUCUUGAAAGUGCUGGAAAAACUGUUGGACAAAGCAAGUUUCUAAAAGCUUUAUCAGGGAAGCUUAAUGAUACUACAGAGUCAGCCCUAGAACCUUCUCUUCGAAGAUUAGCCAUGCUUUACUAUCAUCGUGGUCCCAGCGGUUUUUCAGCAUCUGAAAGGAAAAGGCUCAAUCCAUCCUUGUUUCUCUGGGAUACACUAAGGUACUCUGUGGUAUCUACAGAAAUUGCUUCUCGUGGUAGGAUGUUAAACCAGUCUGCUGAGUCAAAGUCCUGCUUGGAAUCUUUGCGUGGUGAACUGAAUUCAUCAAGUGGAUUCAUAUUGUCCCUAUUAUUCCGUGUUGCUCACUCUGCACGAAAUUUGAAUCGUCUUGAGGUUCUUUUAAGGUUUGAAGGUAUCCAACUAUUAGCGGGGUCUAUUUGCUCUUGCAUUUCUGGUUAUAAAGACGUUCUUAAUGCUACUAAGCGAAAAGGCUCUUUGCCACCUAUGGUUGAUCCAGGUGAGGAGGGUCCCCUCUUCCCUGACGUCCAAUUUUGGAAACAGUGUGCUGAUCCAGUCCUUGCUCAAGAUCCAUUUUCUUCUUUGAUGUCAACACUUUUCUGUCUACCUGUUCAGUUUGUAUCAUCUGCUGAAUUCUUCAUCCCUUUUGUCCAUCUGUUUUAUAUUGUUUGUGCCAUUCAGGCCCUGAUAACAUGCUACGGAUCGGAAACUUUUGACCGAUCUAGCUUCAGUGACUGCCUUCUUAAUGAUGUUUGCAAGACAAUGUCAGGAUAUGAUAUUGCCAGAGAGUAUUUUGUAUCCAAAUAUAUCGACCCGUAUUGUCAUCCAAAAGAUAUGGUCCGUAGAUUGACGUAUCCUUAUCUUCGGAGAUGUGCAUUGCUUUGGGAGCUGCUAAGAUCGUCUGCCACAUCACCCUUAUAUGACAAUUCCAAUAUUUGGGAAGGAUCACAUCUUUACCUGAACAAUAGCACACAAGAUGGAAGUUCUUCACUGGCAAUGGAGCUAAACGGAAUAAGCGAAUUGGAAAAGCUAUUCCAGAUUCAGUCACUGGACCUGAUUCUCCGAGAUGAAUCUGUACAUGUGCUGGCCUUAAAAUGGUCUCAACAUUUCUGUGAAGAUUACAGUUCUCGCAAAUAUAGAGGCUCUCUCUUUUCUACCCCUGCAGUUCCAUUUAGGCUGAUGCAACUACCACCUGUCUACCAAGUUCUCCUUGAAAGAUAUAUCAAGAUGCAAUGCCCCGAUUGUGGCUCAGUGCCUGAUGAACCGGCAUUGUGUUUGCUUUGUGGCAAACUAUGUUCACCUAGCUGGAAACCAUGCUGCAGGACUGGUAAAUGCCUGAAUCAUGCAUCACAAUGUGGUGCCGGUGUUGGCAUAUUUCUUUUAGUGAGGAAAACAACGAUCCUGUUGCAGCGAUCUGCUCGUCUUGCCUUUUGGCCAUCUCCUUACCUUGAUACGUUUGGGGAGGAGGAUCAUGAAAUGCAGAGAGGAAAGCCUUUGUAUCUAAGUCAAGAAAGAUACACAGCCUUGACCUAUCUGGUGGCAUCUCAUAGCCUUGAUCGAACUUCUGAAGUCCUUCGGCAAACGACUAUCAGCUUUUAUGGAUCUGGAUCUGAUUAAAUGCAAUUUCCAUGGAACAAUGUUGAAAGGGUCUUGUGGAUGUGCAUAUUUUUUGGGAACUCUAGUGCAACUUGGUGUUCAUAUUUUCCAGCGGUAACAAGUGUUACCUCUCCCAAGCACUAACACUCAGCUUGGGAGCGUCCCUUGUUGCAACCUACGUACGGUGUGCUUUGCUUCGAUGGUUGGGUAGAAAAGCAAUGAGAAGUCGCAUGAAAGAAAUGAGUAUUCAAGUCCGCAUAUCGCAUAAAAGGUGUAACGGUAAUUAAAAAAAACUCGACGAGUCCAAGGCUUCAAGCCUUGGAAACAGUGGCUGUACCAGGUGUAUACAAAAGUCAUCUGCGGGAGUACUCAUCAACCAACUUCGUUCAGCUUGAAGAUAGAGGCUGAACAUCCGGCGAUGGACCAUGUUGCUUGGUUCUUCUUCGAGGAGGCACCUCCUGAAUUGCUCUGCUUUGGCGCAGCCAACCAUCUCCAGACGUUUCAGCUUGCCUAGAUUCUCUGCCUGGUCCAGGGCUGGACAGUCCUGCACGAACAAAUCCUCAAGCUUGGAAAGAUUGGCGAUCCUCGUAAGGCUUCGGUUGUGCUUCACCUUGAGCCACACAACAGCGGGAAGGUCCACAAAUCUCAUGUAGGCUAUGCGCACCUUCGACAAGUUUGCAGCCCUGUGCAGAUCUUGAGGGAGUGCCCUCAGUUUUGGACAAUGCAGUAGCGACAGACGCUUGAGGAGAGGCAUCAGUAUCACCUGGUGGGGGGAGUCUCCGAUUGUGUUCUGAUUGCACAUGCCUACUGUGCUCAGUGAGCAGGCCUCCACAAUUUUAUGAACAUUACAUUCAGCUCAAAUUCCUCAAACAAGACAUUGAAAAGCGAGGGCAGGAGAUUCAGCACGCUCAAACAAUACAAAAACGCCUUAAGCGAUCAUAUAAGCACACUGCAAAAAAGACAGAGAAGGCGCCACUGAAGAGGUGAUUUACAGCUAUCAAUCAACAAAAUUUCCGAUUCGACUACAAUUUUUUUUUAUCGAACACGCAAGAGAUUUGACUUGGUCAAAGUUGUGUUUUGAAGACUGGACACUGCUUAUUUGGAACUGGAGUGAGCAUUAUACGUGUUUUCUUUAUGAAUAAUGUACUAUAAGAACAAAACAAAAGUUGUUCCAAACUAACCAAAUAAAAGUUCGCAGUAGAAAACUAUUGCUACAGUUAUAUCA